rnacentral:lncRNA from 1 species
ACUCAUAUUGAUUAUGAGUAGGUGGCUGCCAAGAAUUAAAUGAAAGAUUAACAAAACAACACUUGGUAAAAUGUCUUUGUUUCCAUGUUCAUUUUGGACAAGAGAUCAGAUUGUCCCUUGCGUUCAAAAUAGAAAUCAUAUGUCAAAAGUCUCCAUUGUCCAUUAGAAAAAGGAGUAACGUAGUUCCUCAAUAAAAAGGCAAGAAAUACACAUUCUUUCUUGAUUUGAAAGAAGCUUGACGCUUGAAAUUGAAGUUGGGUAUUUCGUUCAGUACUUCAAGAAUCCAGAGGCUUAAAAUUUCGUUAAAAAAUAUUCAAAGAAGCAGGAGCAAUUUUCGUUCAAGAAUUUCAAAAGCAGACGCUUAAUCCGAUUUUUGGGGUUCUAUGUUCAAUCCAUGAAGGUUUCCAAUGAAAUAUUAUACGGAAUUUUUCUUUUUCCAGGUAUGUUAAGGUCAUCUUUUCUUUCUUUUGGCAUGGUUCAAAUUAUAUAGAAGAAACAAGCAAACACACGGUUUCCAUAAAUUACUCUAUUCAUAGAAAUAUUAAGGGUAUCUAUAUUCCAGGUGAAGGUAGUGCUUAUCCUUAUCCAAUAAUGGAGCCAGUGCUUAGCCUCAUGCGAUGGAAUGAGGGUAGUUCUUAGCCCUAUGUGGAGGAAGACAAUGCUUAGCCUUAUGCUAUAAUGGAGGCAGUGCUUAACCUCAUGCGACGUAUUGAGGGCAGUGCUUAGCCCAACGUAAAGGAAGACAACGAUUAGCCUUAUGCAAUAAUGGAGGCAAUGCUUAGCCUCAUGCAACGUAAUGGAGACCGUGCUUAGUCUCAUACAAAGGAAGACAACGUUUAGCCUUAUGCAAUGAUAGAGGCAAUGGUUAGCCUCAUGCAAUGUAAUAGAGACAAUGCUUAGUCUCAUGCAAAGGAAGACAAUGCUUAUUGUUGACGGCCAAUUUUGACCCUCCCUUUUAAAAUUAAUUUAUCUAUA